AAGUCGUAACAAGGUUUCCGUAGGUGAACCUGCGGAAGGAUCAUUAACAAAUAUCUAUGGCGUUGGUUGUAGCUGGCUCCUAGGAGCACUUGUGCACGCCCGUCAUUCAUAUCAUCUUUCCACCUGUGAACUAUGUGUAGGCCUGGAUACCCCUCGCUUUGGUGACAAAGUGGAUGCAAGGAUUGCUGCGUCGACAAGGCCGGCUCUCUUUGAAUUUCCAGGUCCUAUGUCUUUUUACACACCCCAUUCGAAUGAUGUGGAAUGUAGUCAAUGGGCUUUUAUGCCUAUAAAACACUAUACAACUUUCAGCAACGGAUCUCUUGGCUCUC
rnacentral:misc_RNA from 1 species